GAGUUUGAUCCUGGCUCAGGAUGAACGCUAGCUACAGGCUUAACACAUGCAAGUCGAGGGGCAGCAUGAACUUAGCUUGCUAAGUUUGAUGGCGACCGGCGCACGGGUGAGUAACACGUAUCCAACCUGCCGAUGACUCGGGGAUAGCCUUUCGAAAGAAAGAUUAAUACCCGAUGGCAUAGUUCUUCCGCAUGGUAGAACUAUUAAAGAACUUCGGUCAUCGAUGGGGAUGCGUUCCAUUAGGUUGUUGGCGGGGUAACGGCCCACCAAGCCUUCGAUGGAUAGGGGUUCUGAGAGGAAGGCCCCCCACAUUGGAACUGAGACACGGUCCAAACUCCUACGGGAGGCAGCAGUGAGGAAUAUUGGUCAAUGGACGAGAGUCUGAACCAGCCAAGUAGCGUGAAGGAUGACUGCCCUAUGGGUUGUAAACUUCUUUUAUACGGGAAUAAAGUGAGGCACGUGUGCCUUUUUGUAUGUA
rnacentral:rRNA from 1 species